CCCAGUACACUGUUCAACGGCCGCGGUAUCCUAACCGUGCGAAGGUAGCGUAAUCACUUGUUCUUUAAUUGAGGACUAGUAUGAAUGGCUUCACGAAACUUCGCUGUCUCCUUUUUCUAAUCAAUGAAACUAAUCCCCCCGUGAAGAAGCGGGGAUGCAUUUAUAAGACGAGAAGACCCUAUGGAGCUUUAAACAACAGAAACACUUGCUUUUAACCUCUACAUCUUCAGAGAACUAUAAAUACCCCAAGCACUUUAAUUUCUAGUUUUAGGUUGGGGUGACCACGGAGUAAAAACUAACCUCCAUGCUGAAAGAACCUCCGUUCUUAAUCUAAAGUCACAACUUUAAACAUCAAUAAAUUGACUACCAUUGACCCAAUUACUUGAUCAACGAACCAAGUUACCCUAGGGAUAACAGCGCAAUCUACUUCGAGAGCUCUUAUCGACAAGUGGGUUUACGACCUCGAUGUUGGAUCAGGGUAUCCUAGUGGUGCAGCCGCUACUAAUGUUCGUUUGUU
rnacentral:rRNA from 1 species